CUAUUCCGAAAGAUAUCGCUCCUCCCUGAUAUCUAACGUGAACCGCGCCGACCCACUCUCCUCCUCCCAGUGGCGAGGCGCAAAAGCAAAACGGCGAUGCUCACCUCCUCCCGAGCGUCGCCGUUUUU
rnacentral:ncRNA from 16 species